rnacentral:rRNA from 1 species
GGGGAAUUUUGGACAAUGGGGGCAACCCUGAUCCAGCAAUGCCGCGUGAGUGAAGAAGGCCUUCGGGUUGUAAAGCUCUUUUGUCAGGGAAGCAACGGCGGGAGCUAAUACCUUCUGCUAAUGACGGUACCCUGAGAAUAAGCCCCGGCUAACUACGUGCCAGCAGCCGCGGUAAUACGUAGGGGGCAAGCGUUGUCCGGAUUUAUUGGGCGUAAAGCGCGCGUAGGCGGCGCGGUAUGUCGUGCGUGAAAUCCCCCGGCUUAACUGGGAGGGGCCGUGCGAAACUGCCGGGCUUGAGGUCGGAAGGGGAAAGUGGAAUUCCGGGUGUAGUGGUGGAAUACGUAGAUAUCCGGAGGAACACCAGCGGCGAAGGCGGCUUUCUGGUCCGAUACUGACGCUGAGGUGCGAAAGCGUGGGGAGCGAU